GCUAGAGAAGGUAGAGGAGAUGGCGCAGGGGACACGGGCUAAGACUCGGGGGUUCCUGGGACCCUCAGACAUGUGUCCUCUUCUCCCUCCUCCCAGGUGUAUG
ensembl:miRNA MIR877 microRNA 877